CUCCACCCAGAAAUGAUCCAGUGAAACUAGGAGGAGGUGAUUCUCCUCCUCCCUCCUGCUGCUGCUCCUGCUGGUCUGGAAGGGACUGCAGGAAUCUGCUCUGAGGCAGGGUCUGGGGAGGGGAGAGCGCUCUGAGGAGAGAGGGGCUGCCGUGGCUCGGGGUGCAGCUCUCCUGGUGCGCGGCGGGGUGCGAGGGGGCUGCUUGGUUCCUGACCAUGGGAAAGGACCAGGAGCUGCUGGAAGCUGCUCGCACUGGGAAUGUGGCUCUGGUGGAGAAACUCCUCUCUGGGAGGAAAGGAGGGAUCCUGGGCAGUGGAUCUGGAGCUAUUCCCUUAUCCAGCUUACUGAGCAUCUGGCGAGGACCAAAUAUAAACUGCACAGACAGUUCAGGUUAUACUGCUUUACAUCAUGCAGCUUUAAAUGGACACAAGGAUAUAGUUCUCAAAUUACUUCAGUAUGAAGCAUCAACUAAUGUGGCAGAUAAUAAAGGUUAUUUUCCUAUUCACUUGGCUGCUUGGAGAGGAGAUGUAGACAUUGUGAAGAUUCUCAUCCAUCAUGGGCCAUCACACUCCAGAGUGAACGAACAGAAUAAUGAAAAUGAAACAGCGCUGCAUUGUGCAGCUCAAUAUGGUCAUUCGGAAGUAGUUGCUGUUCUGUUAGAAGAGCUAACAGACCCUACAAUACGGAACAACAAACUGGAAACACCUCUGGAUCUGGCAGCGCUCUAUGGACGUCUACGUGUUGUAAAAAUGAUCAUCAAAGCAUAUCCAAACCUGAUGAACUGCAAUACAAGAAAACACACCCCUUUGCAUCUUGCUGCACGUAAUGGCCACAAAGCUGUUGUACAGGUGCUUCUCGAGGCUGGGAUGGAUGUCAGCUGCCAAACAGAAAAAGGGAGUGCACUGCAUGAAGCAGCCCUAUUUGGAAAGGUGGAGGUAGUACGCAUUUUGCUUGAAACAGGAAUUGAUACCAACAUAAAGGACAGUUUGGGUAGAACCGUUUUAGAUAUUCUGAAAGAGCAUCCAUCUCAGCAGUCACUCCAAAUUGCGGCUCUUCUUCAAGAAUAUAUGGAAACAGGAAAUGCAAGUAUUUCAGAGGAACGCCCACUGGAAUGCGCAGAACAUCAGUCUUGCAUUUUGUCCCCAGAAGUUCCUCCGUCUCCAAAGGCUAAAAGUGAAGCUGUGACUGGAGAAUUAUCAAAGCUCUUAGAUGAAAUCAAAUUAUGCCAAGAAAAGGAAUACUCUUUUGAAGAUCUGUCUCAUACAAUAUCAGACCAUUAUCUGGACAAUUUUAGUAAAGUAUCAGAGGAAGAACUUAUGACCAGUGGAAGCCAAACCAAGCUUAAUGUACAGAGGCUGCCUUCAACACGUUUAUCACCAAGAGAGGAAGAAGAUGAUGAUGCAGGUGAAAAUACUUGUGGCCCUUCAGGUAUAUGGGAGGCAUUGACACCUUGUAAUGGAUGCAGGAACCUCGGAUUCCCCAUGCUUGCACAGGAAUCUUAUUCAAAGAAGAGAGGUUAUGCAUUAGAAGCAAUACCUUCUGUGCCUCUGGAUGCAGUUCUCUCUGAAAAUGACAGCAAUCUCUGUGAUUCAAUAGACAUAGCAGUGACCAAAAAACCUUGCUCCCUAGAAAUAGCAAGAGUUCCUUCCUCAAGACCAGAUAAUGCACCUCAGGUAGCAAUUACUGCACCAGGAUCUGGUAACCAUAGAAACAGCUCUACAGGCCCAACACCUGACUGCUCUCCUCCAUCACCAGACACUGCACUUGAAAACAUAGUAAAAGUUAUACGUCCUCAGCCCAAGCAGCGCACAUCAAUAGUAUCUUCUCUGGAAUUUCACCGAAUGAAUCACAGCCACAAUUAUUUUGAAAUCAACACAUCCAUUGGCUGUACAAGUUUUAUUUCUACUCCUGCAAUCAGUCCAGCUAAUUAUUCCUUUGGAUCUUUGGAAUGCAGUGUUGAAGAGAAAGAACUUCCAGAGCGUCUUUGCCAGGGAGAAGCAUCCACUGAAAGUGAGCUUCCUGAAGGACACCCCGCUGAACAGUUUGCUGGUUUACUCCAUGGAUCAUCACCUGCGUGUGACCCACCUGAUAAUCCAUUCCAGCUGUACAGCAAAGUAAACCAGUGCAGUGGUCCACUAGAGAAAAGCAUUUUGAGCAAGAGCACAGUUCAGCAGAUACAGCUGCAGAAAGAAAGCAACAUUGAUGCACCCGUUAAGAAAAAAAAGCCACCAAUUGUUAACAGAACCAUAUUUCAUACUAAAACUAAACCAGUAGAAAAUCAUACGUUGGUUGGCACAUCAACCAGGAUAAGUGAACAAUGGGUUAUCUCCACUGGAGGAUUUGUUGAGCGAGCGUGCACGCUUGGGAGAAUACGAUCUUUUCCAAAGACUUUGCUUGAAAUGCAUUUGUGCAAAAAUGUGUCAAAAUCUGAUUCUAAUCUUAUCACCCGUCCACCAAACGACAAAAAAGCAAGAAGCAACUGGAGUGAACCCACACCAAACCAGCAAUGCUCCAAAGAGAAUUCGGAGAGAACACCUUCCUUCACAUCAGAAUGGGAAGAAAUUGAUAAAAUCAUGAGUUCUAUAGAUGCUGGAAUUAAUACUGGACUGGAGGAGAUGAGUGAUCACGCUGCAAGACCCCGAUGCCCUGUCCAGACAGUGGGACAAUGGUUGGAAAAUAUUGGGCUACCUCAGUAUGAAAACCACUUGCUGGCUAAUGGAUUUGACAAUGUGCAAUUUAUGGGAAGCAACGUAAUGGAGGACCAGGAUCUCUUGGAAAUAGGAAUCCUUAACUCUGGGCACAGACAGAGAAUACUCCAAGCAAUCCAGCUUCUCCCAAAGAUGAAGCAGAUUGGUCAUGAUGGCUACAACCCCGCCUCUGUAGCAGAAUGGCUGGAUUCCAUUGAACUGGGUGACUAUACCAAAUCCUUUCUAAUUAAUGGCUAUACAUCGAUGGACCUUGUGAAAAAAAUCUGGGAUAUUGAAUUAAUUAACAGCCUACCAUGUAAUUGAACAGCACCAAAGGACAAUCUCCUGUAUGAUGUGGGGAGGGCAGGUAUUACAGAAAGUAUGCAAAAAAGUCAUCAGGAAAAAAGCACAGCUGUUUGGAAGGGAAAGCACCUCGCUGGACCUGCAGGAGAGCUUACUAUAAGAAGUGAAACAGAGAGCUAUUGAGAGAAACAAAGCCACCAAACAAGAUGUUGCAGUUGAGAGUGAGAAGACAUUACUUACUUGUGGUCAUACAACAACAGAAAGAGGCCAGAGGAGAAGUCAACUGCAUAGCAACUGAACUUUGGAAGAACAGAAGACUGAGGGACCAUGUCUUCCACCUUUUAUUCGAGGAUUCAUAAAAAUAGCCUGAAUUGGAAAAGCCCAGGAGAAUAAGGAAGGGGAAGAGAAUAAACAAGAAUAGGAUUGUGGACCCCUUUGACUUUCCAUAAAGAGUGUAUGCUCAGCAUAUCAAAACAUUACUAAAAACUAAGGGGUCAAUAGCAAAAAAAAAAGUACUGCAGAAGAAAGUAAGAUAGAAAGAGCAAAUUAUCUCCUAGGAUUGGCUUUUUGAAGAAUGACAUUUAGCAAAAUGCUUGGCCAAGUUGUGAAUUUUCUUGUAUUGCCAAUGUCCCUGGUCAAGUGUGCUUUUUAUCAAAUUUGAAUUUGCAGAGAAGUGGAGCACUUCUGUUCACU